rnacentral:rRNA from 1 species
GACGAACGCUGGCGGCGUGCCUAACACAUGCAAGUUGAGCGACGAACCAGGGCUUGCCCUGGGGCAAAGCAGCGAACGGGUGAGUAACACGUGGGUAACGUGCCCCGAUAACCGGGACCGAACCCGACGGAAACGUCGGGCGUAAUACCGGAUGUGCCCACCCAGACAUCAGUCUGGUGUGUAAAGGAAGCUUCGGCCUCCGUAUCGGGA